rnacentral:rRNA from 7 species
GACUCUCGGCAACGGAUAUCUCGGCUCUUGCAUCGAUGAAGAACGUAGCGAAAUGCGAUACUUGGUGUGAAUUGCAGAAUCCCGUGAACCAUCGAGUCUUUGAACGCAAGUUGCGCCCGAAGCCGUUAGGCCGAGGGCACGUCUGCCUGGGUGUCACGCAACGUCGCC